UCCAGACUCCUACGGGAGGCAGCAGUGGGGAAUAUUGCACAAUGGGGGAAACCCUGAUGCAGCGACGCCGCGUGAGUGAAGAAGUAUUUCGGUAUGUAAAGCUCUAUCAGCAGGGAAGAAAAUGACGGUACCUGACUAAGAAGCCCCGGCUAACUACGUGCCAGCAGCCGCGGUAAUACGUAGGGGGCAAGCGUUAUCCGGAAUUACUGGGUGUAAAGGGAGCGUAGACGGCAAUGCAAGUCCGGAGUGGAAUGCGGCAGCUCAACUGCCGAACUGCUCUGGAAACUGUAUGGCUUGAGUGCAGGAGGGGUAAGCGGAAUUCCUGGUGUAGCGGUGAAAUGCGUAGAUAUCGGGAGGAACACCGGUGGCGAAGGCGGCUUACUGGACUGUAACUGACGUUGAGGCUCGAAAGCGUGGGGAGCAAACAGGAUUAGAUACCCGCGUAGA
rnacentral:rRNA from 1 species